AGCUGGUUGCUUGAGAAAAGAAUUUUAGUUCAGCCUAGAGCCACCUCAAUUAUCUUUAAUAACCCUCACAACUCUAGAGUAAUUCAAAUAAGGUACAGCCUAUUUGAAACAGGACACAACCUAAACUAAUGGGUAAAUCUCCGAUUCCGAGCAGCGGUAGGCCUAAAAGCAGCCACCCUCUCCCAUAGCGUUAAACCUUAACUGCUCAAUCCAUCAAUACCUAACCCUUCAAUGAACCCUUUACUUGUACCAAGCAAUUCUAUGCCGCAUAGAAAAUUUUAUGUUAAAACUAGUAACAAGAAGAAAACCUUCUCUAUAAUGCAAACUUAAAUCAAAAAGGACCCCCCAUUGAUAAUUAUAUGGCCCUAAACUUAUAGUAGUAACACCACAAGAAAAACCUACUCACAACCCCAUUAACCUAACACAAGAGCAUUUCAAGAAAGAUUAAAAAAAAAAGAAGGAACUCGGCAAACACAAAUCCCGCCUGUUUACCAAAAACAUCGCCUCUUGAUAACACAUAAGAGGUCCAGCCUGCCCAGUGACAUCAGUUUAACGGCCGCGGUAUCCUAACCGUGCGAAGGUAGCGUAAUCACUUGUCUUUUAAAUAGAGACUCGUAUGAAAGGCAUCACGAGGAUUUAACUGUCUCCUUUUUUUAAUCAGUUAAACUAAUCUUCCCGUGAAGAAGCGGGAAUAAAUAUAUAAGACGAGAAGACCCUAUGGAGCUUUAAACAUAUGGCAUUUGCUUCAUUAUUUUAAACUUAAACACUUAGCACUUUGACCAGAAGUUUUAGGUUGGGGCGACCGCGGAGUAAAACCUAACCUCCACGUUGUACAGAAUCUUCUUAAGCUAAAAGCUACGCCUUCAAGCAUCAACAAAUUGACAUUUAUUGACCCACUUUUUGAUCAACGAACCAAGUUACCCUAGGGAUAACAGCGCAAUCCAUUUCAAGAGCUCAUAUCGACAAAUGGGUUUACGACCUCGAUGUUGGAUCAGGGUAACCUAGUGGUGCAGCCGCUGCUAAGAGUUCGUUUGUUCAACGAUUAAACCCCUACGUGAUCUGAGUUCAGACCGGAGCAAUCCAGGUCAGUUUCUAUCUAUAAAAAGAUUUUCCCAGUACGAAAGGAUCAGAAAAUCAUGGCCUACAAGACACUCGAGCCAUACUAAACAUUUUUGAUAUCAACUCAAAAAAGAUAACCCUU
rnacentral:rRNA from 1 species